GUACUCGCUUCGGCAGUAUAUAUACUAAAAUUGGAACGAUACAGAGAAGAUUAGCAUGACUC
rnacentral:snRNA from 1 species